GACACAAUACCUAAUUCAUACUAGGGACUAAUCAACCAACUGAUGUGUUUAAAAGUAUUGAUUAUUUGAACAUGUAUUAUCUCAAAGGAAUAUUUCCUAGACAGAUGAAAUCUUGGUAUUCGAUUUAGGCAAAUGCUCUAUUAUACCUUGGUUUUAAAGUUUGUGCUUAAUUCAGUUAAAUAAUAAAUUCACUUAAACUAAUAGUUGAUUAGUAGUUAGCCACCCUUUCUGAGUGAAGAUGCUACUGAUACUAGAAAUGUAAUUAAUACUUGCAUUUUUGAAGAGAUAGGUAUCAUGGGGAAAAUGCUUUUUGGUUACUACUGUAUUUCUUUUUUAGCACAGAUAGUUUUGGUGUAAUUAUAUUAAAAAGGUAAAGCAAAAGAAUAAAUAAAAAGAAUAAUUUGUGUAUAACAUAGUAUGAAACAUUUGUUUAAGUCCAUGUAUAUUGAUUAGUCAGAAUAUUAGACAUUUUAAACAGGAGGAAGUGAAUUCUGUGGUUGGCAUAUAGCUAAUGGAGACCUAGAAAUCUUGGAUUCUUACCUUUCCUUUUGUGUAAUUAAGAGGAGUGCAAGCUCAUUUGAAUGCUUAAAAUGUCAAUAAUUAUUGGAUUACCACUUAGGAAAAUAAUUUGUUUU
rnacentral:lncRNA from 1 species